UCAUUCUAAAAGGCAAAGGCUAUUAACAAGAGAGAAGCUAUUUUAAUUCAAAAAUAUAAAACACAAUAAGAUAUUUUCACUUUGGGAACUUCACUCCAUCACUCACUCCUCUGCUUCUUUGAACUCAUCUUCUGAGAGCUCACUUCUUCAAUGGCUACAUUUCUCCUCACCAUCGCUUCACCGUUCAGAACUCAUCUUCUGAGAGAUCACCUCUCCGAUGGCUAUAUUUAUCUCAUCAUCGCUUCACCGCCACAUCAACUUUGUAAAAUUCAACUAGCUUAUCAGAUUCGGAAUUGGGAUAAUCAUUUUAAGUAUCUUGGAGAUGCUUCAAAUUCAAUUCCUGGAUCGAAAAGACUCAGUGCCGACGAUCGUUCGGGGUCACCGUUCCGUCUGACUCAGUGGUCGAAUCGGAUGCCGAAUUGUGAAUUUAUUGAGUCAAUCAUAUGGAGUAUACAACAUCAAUGAGCUAGUAUUACAAUAGUAGCAUGUUGAUACAGAAACGACAUAUAGAUGUGCUUCCCAUGAGAUGAUGGUCUUUGGAGCCAUAGGUGCCGGUGCCUGAAAUGUUGUUCAGAGAGCAAUUCACAUUCCAACUCAUAGGAUUAUUGCUUUGUAGAAGAUAAAUAUUUUUGAGAAGGUUGUGAAGGUUUGCUGACUCUGUGUUACUCGAGUGCAAGUUCAGUCUGGUGUCAUGACCACAAAAAGAGGAACAAUCGAUGGAUGGCUCUAGAGAUUCAUUCUCCUUCUUCCCUUCUUAUGUGCCAAGUGAUGCGGCUGGUGAUCCAUUUUCCUCCAUGGACACAAGAUCGUCUGGUGAUAAGUGUUUGUAGUGGAAACUUAAAAGUGUCUCAUAAUCUUAUUAGUUAAUUAAUUUCUAAUGUAAUUGCAUGAUUGAAUGGCACAAGUAAACUCUCCCAGCCAAAUGAUAUACAAACAAUUCAUGUUAGCAAUGUAAAGGGUUCUCUCUUAAUUUUUUUUAAUUGUUGGCAACAGUUGUUUACUUGUCUUA